AUGCAGAUUUGGCAUCGACCAGGAAGGGCGCUGCCUACCGUGCAGGCAUUUCAAGAGGGACGUGGUGAGGCCGUCGAGGUCGAGCAUGGAGACGGUAUACCUCCCCCAGUCGCCCCACCCGGAGUUGGCGUUGGCCUCCUCGUGCGCGCUGGCCACGUACACGCAGUUCCUCCGCACCCCGUUCACCCCGUUCGCCUCCACGCAGAAGCCGCGGACGUGGUCCACGAACACGGCGCGGUCGCCGAGCCCGCCGCCGCCGACCUCCGACCACCCGGCCGCCAGGCUCCCGCGGUCCGCGCGAAAGGCCUUGAAGAGGCCCUUCGAGCGGUGGCAUCCUCCGUGCACGACGAGGAGGAGCUCGGAAGCGGACGACACGACGAGCGUGGACUCGCGCAUCCACGAGCGGUCGGGCAUCACCAGAUCUGGCGGCUCGAUCGCGGCGACCACGGCGAAGGUCGCGCCGUCCACGGCCGUUACCUUGUUGGCGCGCUUGUCGAGGACGUAGAAAGCGCCGUCGCAGUAGGUGAUGCUGCCGACGCGAGCUGGCGGCGAGAGGUCGGCGGGGGUCCACGACCUGCCGUCGCCCUGCAGCCGGCAGAAGAACGCGCCCUUACCCUGCGAGACCAUGACGGCGUCAGGCGACCGGUCCCAGACCAUGUCACGGAGGAUCAUCUGAUACCCGUCGUGGAAGGAUGGCGGCAACGCGGGCAGGCUCUCCGACGCGCCCGUGAAGGGGUGCAGCAGCGUGGCCGAGAAGUCGUCGGCCACGGCGAGCGUCCAGCCGCGCGGCGAGGCGAAGAGGAAGGAGCGGCCGCACGCUGCGGGCAUGGGGAUCUCCGUGAUGCUGUCGUCGGCGAGGGACCAGAGACGGCGGUUGACGCGGGAGUUCUGCUGGGAGGGCAGGAGGAGCAGGGGCACGCGGCGGCGGGCGGCGUGCUCCGCCGAGGCCGAGCGCCAAGAAGGGCACACCGAGCGGAAGCGCGCGAGGUCCGCAUGCUCGGUGAUCCUGUCGGCGAUCCCGGCUACGAGCUCGGCUGGCAGGUCGGACCAGCUCAUGGUGUUCGCGUCUGCGUGUUCUUGGAUUGA
rnacentral:rRNA from 1 species